rnacentral:rRNA from 1 species
GACGAACGCUGGCGGCGUGCUUAACACAUGCAAGUCGAACGAAGAGCGAUGGAAGCUUGCUUCUAUCAAUCUUAGUGGCGAACGGGUGAGUAACGCGUAAUCAACCUGCCCUUCAGAGGGGGACAACAGUUGGAAACGACUGCUAAUACCGCAUACGAUCUAAUCUCGGCAUCGAGGAUAGAUGAAAGGUGGCCUCUACAUGUAAGCUAUCACUGAAGGAGGGGAUUGCGUCUGAUUAGCUAGUUGGAGGGGUAACGGCCCACCAAGGCGAUGAUCAGUAGCCGGUCUGAGAGGAUGAACGGCCACAUUGGGACUGAGACACGGCCCAGACUCCUACGGGAGGCAGCAGUGGGGAAUCUUACGCAAUGGACGAAAGUCUGACGGAGCAACGCCGCGUGAGUGAUGACGGCCUUCGGGUUGUAAAGCUCUGUUAAUCGGGACGAAAGGCCUUCUUGCGAAUAGUGAGAAGGAUUGACGGUACCGGAAGAGAAAGCCACGGCUAACUACGUG